GGGGGGCUGUUUUAACUGGUCAGUAAGUGGACAUUCCGCCUCAUCUCAUUGGCCCAUAACUACAAACCAAUCAGGACAGGAUUUCACUCAGAUGGUAGUGAUAAAAAGCCAGGCUCAGUACUGGUCAGACUAGAGUAGCUGUUGGAGUGGAACAGUGAGGGCUUAGGGGAGCUAGGAGAAGAGGUUUGUUUCUGAAGGGAAGUUAGAGAUGUAACCGAGGAACUGGUAUUGCCAGGGCAAAGAGCUGAAGGUCUGCUAGGAGGAGAGCAAGGUUUUGUGGCUAUUGCCAAAUGACAGCUGGUUGUUGUGAACAGGAACCCUAAGAAGAUUGAAGGGACCCAAGAGUGAAGGACAUGUGUGACUUGCUUCUUUGAAUGACCCCUUAGCGGAGGAUUUUGUUAACAUGCUUGCACUUGGGGGCUCUGGAGACUUCUGCUUGGAUCAACAAGAAACAUUGAUUCUAACAUGUUCCAGAGGAUUUGUGACAUUCUCAGCGUGUGUGAAACUCAAAUCACCCCCCACAGGCCCACCGUCUGAUGGCAUGUGGAAAGCUUUCCUCGCUAUUUGUCCUUGGAAAUGUGUAAGUACAGAAGUUAAUCCUUCUUGGGAUAAAUCUCAUUUAUGUGUUUGUCUCCUCGGCAAGGUUUAUCCUACUUCAUUAAGUUUUGGCAUCUCAAAGGGCAACAGCUGCACCGUCACACUGCCACCGCUUUAAGAACCUCCAUUCAUGAUAAUGUUUAAUGCAAACUUAUUCCUCUCUCCAACUGCAGGAACAUUAAAGCAGAUUUUCCUUA